rnacentral:rRNA from 1 species
CCUACGGGAGGCAGCAGUGAGGAAUAUUGGUCAAUGGACGCAAGUCUGAACCAGCCAUGCCGCGUGCAGGAAGACGGCUCUAUGAGUUUUAAACUGCUUUUGUACGAGGGUAAACGCAGAUACGCGUAUCUGUCUGAAAGUAUCUUACGAAUAAGGAUCGGCUAACUCCGUGCCAGCAGCCGCGGUAAUACGGAGGAUUCAAGCGUUAUCCGGAUUUAUUGGGUUUAAAGGGUGCGUAGGCGGUCGGAUAAGUUAGAGGUGAAAUCCCGAGGCUCAACUUCGGAAUUGCCUCUGAUACUGUCAGGCUAGAGAGUAGUUGCGGUAGGCGGAAUGUAUGGUGUAGCGGUGAAAUGCUUAGAGAUCAUACAGAACACCGAUUGCGAAGGCAGCUUACCAAGCUACUUCUGACGUUGAGGCACGAAAGCGUGGGGAGCAAACAGGAUUAGAUACCCUAGUAGUC